GCUGGUGUAGCUCAAUUAGGCAGAGCAAUUGAUUUGUAAUCAAUAGGUUGAUGGUUCGAUUCCGUUCACCAGCUCCA
rnacentral:tRNA from 1 species